rnacentral:rRNA from 1 species
AAUAGAUACCCGGGUAGUCCACGCCGUAAACGAUGAGUGCUAAGUGUUAGAGGGUUUCCGCCCUUUAGUGCUGCAGCUAACGCAUUAAGCACUCCGCCUGGGGAGUACGGCCGCAAGGCUGAAACUCAAAGGAAUUGACGGGGGGCCCGCACAAGCGGUGGAGCAUGUGGUUUAAUUCGAAGCAACGCGAAGAACCUUACCAGGUCUUGACAUCCUCUGACAACCCUAGAGAUAGGGCUUUCCCCUUCGGGGGACAGAGUGACAGGUGGUGCACGGUUGUCGUCAGCUCGUGUCGUGAGAUGUUGGGUUAAGUCCCGCAACGAGCGCAACCCUUGAUCUUAGUUGCCAGCAUUCAGUUGGGCACUCUAAGGUGACUGCCGGUGACAAACCGGAGGAAGGUGGGGAUGACGUCAAAUCAUCAUGCCCCUUAUGACCUGGGCUACACACGUGCUACAAUGGAUGGUACAAAGGGCUGCAAACCUGCGAAGGUAAGCGAAUCCCAUAAAGCCAUUCUCAGUUCGGAUUGCAGGCUG